UUACGGCCAGAUCACGUUGAAGCACCUGCUACCGUACGAUCAUCAAAGUUAAGAAACGUCGAUCCUGGUCAAUACCUAGAUGGGUAACCGCUCGGGAAUAUCAGGUGCUGCAAG